rnacentral:rRNA from 1 species
CCUGUCCAACGUUAAUCGGGGCAGGGUGAGUCGACCCCUAAGGCGAGGCUGAAAAGCGUAGUCGAUGGGCAACGGGUUAAUAUUCCCGUACUGGUGGUAACUGCGAAGGGGGGACGGAGAAAGCUAAAUCAUCCGGGCGACGGUUGUCCCGGUUUAAGCGUGCAGGUGGACUGACCAGGCAAAUCCGGUCGGUUGUUAACACUGAGGCGUGACGACGAGCCACUACGGUGGUGAAGUGAUUGAUGCUCUGCUUCCGGGAAAAGCCUCUAAGCUCCAGGUUACCAUUAAUCGUACCCCAAACCGACACAGGUGGUCAGGUAGAGAAUACUCAGGCGCUUGAGAGAACUCGGGUGAAGGAACUAG